UCGACAUUGAUAAGAGAACGCGCGAGCAUUUAAUUACCUUCAAAUCGGUUCCGUGUAGAGGCAGAGAGAGUAGGGUUUUGUGAGGCAGAGAGCGGUAGGGUUCAUAUGGAGGCAAAGAGCGUUAGGGUUCGUGUGAGGCAGAUAACGCUAGGUUCGUGUGAGGCAGCGAGCGCUAGGGUUUGUGUGAGGCAUACAUCACUAGGGUUCGUGUGAGGCAUACAUCACUAGGGUUCGUGUGAGGCAGAGAGCGCUCGAUUCGUGUGGAAGCAGCAAGCGCUAAGGUUCGUGUGAUGUGAGGUAGAGAGAAGGACGAGAGUGAAAGCGUUAAAGUUAGGGUUCACUCUGGUUUUCAAAAUGAAAUUCAAAAAAAAGUUAUUUUCUUAAGUUUUUAAAAAAAAUUCAUUUUUCAAGUGAAAAAUUGAAGCGCUAGGGUUUGUGUGAGGCAGAGAGCGCUCGAUUCGUGUGGAAGCAGCCAGCGCUAAGGUUCGUGUGAUGUGAGGUAGAGAGAAGGACGAGAGUGAAAGCGUUAAAGUUAGGGUUCACUCUGGUUUUCAAAAUGAAAUUCAAAAAAAAGUUAUUUUCUUAAGUUUUAAAAAAAAAUUCAUUUUUCAAGUGAAAAAUUGAAG
rnacentral:lncRNA from 1 species